GACGAACGCUGGCGGCGUGCCUAACACAUGCAAGUCGAACGGAGUUGCCCUUCGGGACAACUUAGUGGCGAACGGGUGAGUAACGCGUGAGAAACCUGCCUUUCAGUGGGGGACAACAGUUGGAAACGACUGCUAAUACCGCAUAAUGUUAUUUGGGGGCAUCCCUGAAUAACCAAAGAUUUAUUGCUGAAAGAUGGUCUCGCGUCUGAUUAGCUAGAGGGCGGGGUAACGGCCCACCAUGGCGACGAUCAGUAGCCGGUCUGAGAGGAUGAACGGCCACAUUGGGACUGAGAUACGGCCCAGACUCCUACGGGAGGCAGCAGUGGGGAAUAUUGGGCAAUGGGGGAAACCCUGACCCAGCAACGCCGCGUGAAGGAAGAAGGCCUUCGGGUUGUAAACUUCUUUUACCAGGGACGAAGAGAAUGACGGUACCUGGAGAAAAAGCAACGGCUAACUACGUGCCAGCCGCCGCGGUAAAAC
rnacentral:rRNA from 1 species